rnacentral:rRNA from 1 species
AAUAGAUACCCCGGUAGUCCACGCCGUAAACGAUGAGUGCUAAGUGUUAGAGGGUUUCCGCCCUUUAGUGCUGCAGCUAACGCAUUAAGCACUCCGCCUGGGGAGUACGGUCGCAAGACUGAAACUCAAAGGAAUUGACGGGGGCCCGCACAAGCGGUGGAGCAUGUGGUUUAAUUCGAAGCAACGCGAAGAACCUUACCAGGUCUUGACAUCCCACUGACCGGUAUAGAGAUAUACCUUUCCCUUCGGGGACAGUGGUGACAGGUGGUGCAUGGUUGUCGUCAGCUCGUGUCGUGAGAUGUUGGGUUAAGUCCCGCAACGAGCGCAACCCUUGAUCUUAGUUGCCAGCAUUUAGUUGGGCACUCUAAGGUGACUGCCGGUGACAAACCGGAGGAAGGUGGAGAUGACGUCAAAUCAUCAUGCCCCUUAUGACCUGGGCUACACACGUGCUACAAUGGAUGGUACAAAGGGCUGCAAGACUGCGAAGUCAAGCCAAUCCCAUAAAACCAUUCUCAGUUCGGAUUGCAGG